rnacentral:lncRNA from 12 species
UUCAAUAACACCGUGGCUUUGAUUUUUAUUUCCCCAGGGAAGCCUCAGGCUUUACUCUGGAAAGUCAGAGGUUAAUAAAGAUGUGUUUGAUUUGGAAAUGAGAAGACAGGAGGGAAGUGCUGGUGAGCCAGGAGCCUGAGAGCUGGGGAAGCAUUCUGAAGAUGCACCAAAAUAUCAUUAAAAAUUUGGACUUUAAGCAUUACAGUGGUCAUUUUGCUAUUACAGCUGAAGAAAUCCACCACCAAACACGAUAUGAAGGACAAAUCUCAUGUCCCUGUGACACUCCAGCAACUCCAAAUCAUCACUUUCACUCACCUGCAGAGCUG